CCUCAUCAACCACCUUCCUUGCCUGCCAACUUUCUUUUUUAUAGGAGUACUUCCUUGUUCCUCAUCCACAUUAUUUUCCCUCAGCCUUCCUACCUUCUUUCACACUGGAUUAUUCUCUUCUCCUACUAGCACUAUAGAAUUACUCCCUUCUUCUACUUUUUUCUUCCUUGGCUUGGGAGUCAGCUUCUUUGGGUAGACUUGAUAUAGUAUAAAGUCUAUGACUUCCACUGCUGAUCGGAAUAAUCCCUAUGAUUCCCUGUGAAUGAAAUACUAUAGUAACACAUCAAAUAAAUGUAGUCAAUGUUCUUGGGCAACCAUGUGUAGAUUUUUCAAUUUCUAGAUGCAUGCUCUG
rnacentral:lncRNA from 1 species